UAAUACGUAGGGUGCAAGCGUUGUCCGGAUUUAUUGGGCGUAAAGAGCUCGUAGGUGGCCUGCCGCGUCGGAUGUGAAAACCCGGGGCUCAACCCCGGGCCUGCAUUCGAUACGGGCAGGCUAGAGGAUGGCAGGGGAAACUGGAAUUCCUGGUGUAGCGGUGAAAUGCGCAGAUAUCAGGAGGAACACCGGUGGCGAAGGCGGGUUUCUGGGCCAUUCCUGACACUGAGGAGCGAAAGCGUGGGGAGCAAACAGG
rnacentral:rRNA from 1 species